GCUCUUCUUCUUUCUGGCCUUAUACUGUGCCUUUGAGGGGUAUGGAUGUUAUUCAGGAUAUAGCAAUGUUAGUAGAUACCCUCCUGGUCGAGUCGUCGUUAAUCUGCCGAUCGGAUUCGAUUCGGGGCCGACCCAUGUUCGCGUAUGUCGGAAGUUGCGUGCUAUGGCGAGCGACUAUCCGGACGGGUCUAACAGAUUACGUAAAUAAAAUAAGUAUUAACAAAACUCGUUGGAGUAGGUAAACGUACUAUGUACAAUGGAUUCAUUUCGGAUGUGAAAACAAUUCAAAUGCUGUAUGGCCUAUGAUUAAAUGUGAAGUUCUCAGUAAAAUGGAAUGAAAAUGCCCGUCAGAGCUGUUGAUAACUGGUAGAAAUAUGCAGUCUGUAGAUCGGUGUAUAGUUUUUACGUAAAUGCUCUCAUAAUGAUUGCUUUCUCACUCUCAAAUAAAAUUCCUGCAAUGAAAGGGGAAAACGGGAUAAUAUUGUAAAACAUCAUGAAUGCGAAAAAGGUUCAUUUGGCAAUGAUGAAUAGUGUUUCAUUUUCCUGCGUGUUUAAAUAAGUACAUUGGUGCGUACUGUGUCUGACAACUUUGACUGGCGUAGCAACUCUGGUUGUAUGUGUCAGGAGGUUGAGCAUGCGUCGGCUGCGGGGAAGUUGAUGAUGUACUUGGAGGAGCUGCAGCUUGGGAAAACGUAGAUUCUACAGAGGAACGUUGUCCUAAAUGUUCUAAUCCAAGAGCUUAUUUCAUGCAGAUUCAAACAAGAUCAGCAGAUGAGCCUAUGACUACU